GCAAAGAAAUUCAGCUUAUUGGUCAUUCUAAAACCAUUUGUUCAAUUUACUUGAUUCUCAUUAUCCUUGACUAGAAACUUUUAUGGUGUUAUAAUAUUCUUUCUGUUCAUUGAUUAUCUGUCUGACUUGCAAGGGAGAGGUGGGAAAGCAAACUGCAAGAUGGUGACAUGGACCAUUUUAUGGGACAGGACUUUAAAAGAACAUGUUUUCAUCUAUAUAUUCCAAUGGGCGCCUUUAUAAUAUGUUUAUGCUCUUACUGGAAAAUCUAUUGGCUACUUCUUCAACCUAACUUUACUACCCCAUUUUUUAUAGUUUCCUAACAUGGUUUUUAUACCAUGUUUUAUGCACAUAUCUAAGGAAUUAUUUGUGCAAAUUACAGGAACUACAGACUCUCAGGCGGAAUCCCAGGCAAGCAAGGCACUUGGGUGAAGACAUCUCAACUACAGCCAGAUCUGCUCUACUCUGCCUUGGUGAGGCAGAGCAUCACAGGAAGAGGAACAUGAAUUCAUGGAAGACAAGUACUGAUGCAGACGAAGGGGAAAGACAAGACUUGAUGCCUAAGAAAGAAUGCAGGUUCCUAAGUAAAGCCGUGAGACGACAAGAAA